AGCACCAAAGAGAUGCGAGCCAAUGGGAAAUUGUGUGCAGCCUCCAGGAGCAGAAUCAAAGCUAUAUAUCCCAGUGUGGCCUGAAUUGAGGUCUCCAGAAGCAUAAAGGAACUCCUCAGUCUGCUGAGGAUGAAAAUGUGAAGAUUCUGUUACUUUACACUAACAUUUGUUGAGCUUGUACUGAGAUCAGUCACAAAACGUUUCUCAUGACGUUCCCUAGCUUUCACUUUGUUGUUUUGUUCCAAUAAAAAUGGCUUACAUAUUGUCA
rnacentral:lncRNA from 1 species